UACGUAGGGAGCAAGCGUUGUCCGGAAUCAUUGGGCGUAAAGCGCGCGUAGGUGGCUCUGUAAGUCCGUUGUGAAAGUCAAAGGCUCAACCUUUGAAAGCCGAUGGAUACUGCAGAGCUAGAGUACGGAAGAGGCGAGUGGAAUUCCUGGUGUAGCGGUGGAAUGCGCAGAUAUCAGGAGGAACACCGGUGGCGAAGGCGGAUCUCUGGGCCUUACCUGACGCUCAGGCGCGAAAGCUAGGGGAGCGAACAGG
rnacentral:rRNA from 1 species